UGAAAAGCUAUGAUCGGAAUAAGUAAGAAUCGAAUUCUGACGACAGAGAAUUGCCGGUUGGUGAGAGGCGUAAGUUAAGAGCGAUGAUGAAUACCUCCGUGAGCUGCCUGGUUGAAUUUCGGGAUAUUUUUUACCGGAUAAUAGACCUGGACGGGGCUGACCGUUAUAUCGGAAGAGUAUCGCUUAUCAGUUUAUUUGAAGAGUAUAUCGGGCAUAGUUUUUGUUUGUCAGGUUGUGCUUUACUGAGAAGUCGUACUUGCUGAGGCAUGCAGUGUGAGCUGCGUGUGAAUGAAGGUGGUAACACGAAUUAUUCGUCCUUCGC
rnacentral:ncRNA from 1 species